rnacentral:lncRNA from 1 species
GCUUUGCAUUUCUCUCCACUGAUAAAGACACGGGACCUGAAAACAUCACAAGCCUUAUGAUUUCUCUUCUUCUCAAACCAUGGUGUCACGCUCCCUUUGAAGCCUUUUUGUCUGGCCCCAAUUUAGGGAAUAAUAUUUCUAACUUGCUUAGAGAUUAUCUGAACAUAGAUUUCCUGCCCUUUGAGGAUCAAGGGCAACACUGCAAGCAGAAGUGUGUGAAUGAUGAUGGGGUAGGUGAGUGGAAAUCCUUCAGGUAGCGUGGGCCAAUCAGAUGCCGUUAUCCUCAGGAUUUGCCUCAAAUCUUUCUCCCUCCCAGAGUUUUCUUCUGCACCUCCAUGUCUUGGCCCCUGGCUUCCUCACCAACUUCAUCUACAUUCUCUCAGUCCACACGAAAACUAUUCUAAACUGCUGUUUGUUUGGAAUUCAUCGUUUCUUUAAAACUUCCCACGGGAAAUUCAUCGCCCCUCUUCCAUUUCUAUUGCUCUUAAAUGUAUCCAGAGCCCCAUAGUUUCUUGCUCGGACUUGCAAAUGGGCUUCCAGCAUGACCCUACUUGGUGCCCACUAAUACUCUCACCAGCCAUUUUCAAGCAUGCAGAAAUAAUCAGAAUAUUUCCUGUUGAAAGUCCCCUGUAGCUUCUCAUGCCUCUGGAUCUGGUCACUCACUGUGGCACUGCUCUUCAUGGUCUGGCUUCUACCUUCCUUUCUAGUCCCAUCUCCCCUCUCUUUAGACACCCCUCUCCCAGUCUUCAUCCCAUAAUAUUUUCUGAAUUCUCCCACAGACAUUUCUUUAAUCAAAUGUCCCUUCCUCUGUCCCCACUUGGAGAACAUCCAUUGUCCACUCAGCAUUUUGCCACUUGACUCAUUU